GGAGCAGUCCGCCGCCUCCCUCCGAGCGCAGGACGCUCCGACGCCCGCUUGCCCGCAGGCCACCGCAGACUGGGAAUUACACAGCAAGAUGGCUUUCCCUACUCCAUCGUGGCUAGAGCCUCUGCAAGGGCUGAAGCCCUUUGAUCUUGGCUUCAUUUGGAUACAUUUCAAGGGCCUUACUGGCUUUGGGCAAGUGCUGAAGUUCACUCAUUUUCUAUUGGUUGUUUCUCCCCAUGAAAGGCUGGUCUCAAAUUCCUGAGCUGAAGCCAUCCUUCUGCUUCAACUUUCCUUCUGUAUUUUGAGAUAAGUUUUCACCGUGUAGCCCUGGCUGGCCAGGAACUCACUAUGUAGACCAGGGUCUCUCUGACUCCCUGGUGCUGAGAUUAAAAGCAUACACCACCAC
rnacentral:lncRNA from 1 species